AGAGUUUGAUCAUGGCUCAGAACGAACGCUGGCGGCGCUUCUUAAGCAUGCAAGUCGGGCGGCAGCCGCAGCGAUGCGGCGAGAGCGGCGGACGGGUGAGUAACGCGUGGACAACCGACCCUCCGGACGGGGAUAGCCGCGGGAAACUGCGGAUAAUACCGGAUACGACCCGGGGAGCGAAGGCGCUCCGGGGGAAAGCCGCUGCGGCGGCGCCGGGGGACGGGUCUGCGUCCCAUCAGCUAGACGGCGGGGUGAAGGCCCACCGUGGCGACGACGGGUAGCCGGCCUGAGAGGGUGGACGGCCACAUUGGGACUGAGAACGGCCCAGACUCCUACGGGAGGCAGCAGCUAAGGAUCUUCCGCAAUGGGCGAAAGCCUGACGGAGCGACGCCGCGUGGACGAUGGAGGCCGUGAGGUUGUAAAGUCCUUUUUUUUCCCGUGCACAGCCGUGCCAGGGAAUGGGUGCAAAAGGACAUGGCCACGGGAAUAAGCCCCGGCUAACUACGUGCCAGCAGCCGCGGUAACACGUAGGGGGCGAGCGUUGUUCGGAAUCAUUGGGCGUAAAGGGCGCGCAGGCGGCUGCGGGAGCCCGGCGUGAAAUCCACAGGCCCAACCUGUGGGGGUCGCCGGGGACUCCGCGGCUGGAGUCCAGGAAGCGGUUCAGGAAUUCCCGGUGUAGGGGUGAAAUCUGUAGAUAUCGGGAAGAACACCAAUGGCG
rnacentral:rRNA from 1 species